rnacentral:lncRNA from 1 species
GUAUCAGAUUAGCUCCCGAGAGCCAGAAGCUGUUUGCCUUUCAGUGGGAAGAUCCGGAGUCAGGUAUCACUACUCAGUACACUUGGACCCGGCUUCCCCAAGGGUUCCAGAGCUCCCCCACCAUCUUCAGGGAGGCGUUGGCUACAGACCUCCAGAAGCUUCCCACCAGAGACCUAGGCUGCGUGUUGCUCCAGUACGUUGAUGACCUUUUGCUGAGACACCCCACGGCAGUCAGGUGCGCCAAGGGAACGGAUGCCCUACUCCAGCGCCUGGAGGACUGUGGGUAUAAGGUGUCCAAGAAAAAAGCUGAGAUCUGUCGACAGCAGGUACGUUACUUGGGAUUUACUAUCCGACACGGGGAAUGCAGCCUGGGAUCAGAAAGAAAGCAGGUCAUUUGCAAUCUACUGGAGCCUAAGAGCAGAAGGCAAGUGAGAGAAUUCUUAGGAGCUGUGGGGUUUUGUAGACUGUGGAUCCCAAACUUUGCAGUAUUAGCCAAGCCUUUGUAUGAGGUCACAAAGUGGGGGACCGGGAACCUUUUGAAUGGGGAUCUCAACAACAGCAAGCCUUUCAUGAGUUAAAGGAAAAAACUUAUGUCAGCCCCAGCCCUGGGGCUACCCGAUCUGACAAAGCCUUUUACAUUGUAUGUGUCAGAGAGAGAAAAGAUGGCAGUUGGAGUUUUCAUCCAAACUGUGGGGCCCUGGCCGAGGCCAGUGGCCUACCUCUCUAAACAACUAGAUGGGGUUCCUAAAGGAUGGCCCCUGUGUUUGAGGGCCUUGGCAGCAACUGCCCUGCUAGUACAAGAAGCAAAUAAGCUGACUCUUGGGCAAAACCUGAACAUAAAGGCUCCCCAUGCUGUGUUGACUUUAAUGAAUACUAAAGGACAUCAUUGGCUAACGAAUGCUAGACUCACCAAGUACCAAAGUUUGCUCUGUGAAAAUCUCCGUAUAACCAUUGAAGUUUGGAACACCCUAAACCCCACCACCUUGCUCCCAGUAUCAGAGAGCCCUGUCGGGCAUGAUUGUGUAGAAGUGUUUGACUCAGUUGACUCUAGUAGAUCUGACCUCCGGGACCAGCCUUGGGCAUCAGUAGACUGGGAACUACACGUGGACGGGAGCAGCUUCAUCAACCUACAAGGAGAGAGAUGUGCAGGGUAUGCAGUGGUAACCCUGUACACUGUUGUUGAAGCCAGAUCGUUGCCCCAGGGCACUUCAGCCCAGAAAGCUGAACCCAUUGCUUUAAUUUGGGCCUUAGAACUCCAUGAAGGUAAGACUGUAAACAUUGACACUGAUUCUCGGUAUGCCUUUUUAACCCUUCAAGUGCAUGGAGCAUUAUAGAAAGAAAACGGCCUAUGGAACUCUGGGGGAAAAGACAUAAAAUAUCAACAAGAAAUCUUGCAAUUAUUAGAAGCAGUAUGGAAACCCCACAAGGUGGCAGGUAUGCAUUGCAGAGGACAUCAGCGAGCUUCCACCUUGCUGGGUUUGGGGAAUUCCCGCGCUGACUCAGAGGCUCGAAAAGCAGCAUCUGCCCCCUUCCGGCAAUCAGUCACAGCCACUCUGCUCCCUCAAGCACCUGAUCUUGUACCUACUUAUUCUAAAGAAGAAAAGGACUUUCUCCAGGUAGAGGGAAGGACAAGUGAUGGAGGAAGGAUGGAUUCGGUUACCAGAUGGGAGAGUAGCUGUGCCACAGCUGCUAGGAGCUGCAGUUGUACUGGCUGUGCAUGAAACCACCCAUCUAGGUCAGAGUCACUGGAAAAGUUGUUAGGCUGGUAUUUCUACAUCUCGCAUUUGUCAGCCCUUGCCAAAACGGUGACACAGCGGUGUGUUACCUGCUGACAGCACAAUGCGAGGCAAGGUCCAGCCGUUCCGCCCGGCAUAAAAGCUUAUGGAGCAGCCCCCUUUGAAGAUCUCCAGGUAGACUUCACAGAGAUGCCAAAGUGUGGAGGUCAGAAGUAUUUACUAGUUCUUGGGUGUACCUGCUCUGGGUGGGUGGAGGCUUAUCCAACACGAACUAAGAAAGCUCGUGAAGUAACCCGUGUGUUUCUUCGAGAUCUGAUUCCUAGAUUUGGACUGCCCUUACGGAUCAGCUCAGAUAACGGGCCUGCGUUUGUGGCUGACUUGGUACAGAAGACGGCGAAGGUAUCGGGCAUCACAUGGAAACGGCAUGCCGCGUACCAGCCUCAGAGUUCCGGAAAGGUGGAGCGGAUGAAUCGGACUAUCAAAAAUAGUAUUAUUAUCUUUCCCACUGGAUAUUAAAAACAAUACCACAAGGGGCAUCAAACCACCUGCCAAAUUUGAGGGAAUGUUAUUCUGUCCUCCCCCCGCCCCCGGAUAUUAGAGACAAUAACAUAGGGGCUGUAGAUAAAGGGGUUGAGCAUGGAGGUGACCACCGUGUACAUCACUGCAGCCACUGCACCCUUUCUGGGGGAAGAUGACACAUCUGAACUGAGGUACCCUCCAACACCUCUUCCAUAAAAUCAGCAAACAACUGACAGAGAUCAUGCAGCGGGAGCCCACGAUCGGUUUAAUCAUCACUCACUUCCAUUGGAUCAACUACAAAUCAACUCAGAUGAGAGUGCUGAGUCUCAGAGGAUGGACAUCUCACCCCUUGCCAUACAGAUAAGUAGAAAGGAUGGUAUUCAAAAUUAAUGGCCAGACUCUAAGUCCCAGAUACUAUACUUCAUGGUCUUCCAACUCUCAAAAAGUUGUGGGAGUUUUUUUUUGUUUUUGUUUUUGUUUUUUUGAGACGGAGUCUCAUUCUGUUGCCCAGGCUGGAAGUGCAGUGGAGUGAUCUCAGCUCAUUGCAACCUCCGCAUCCCAGGUUCAAGCUAUUCUCCUGCCUCAGCCUGCUGAGCAGCUGAGAUUACAGGCGCCCGCCACUAUGCCCGACUAAUUUUUUUCUAUUUUUAGUAGAGACGGGGUUUCACCAUGUUGGCCAGGCUGGUCUCGAACACCUGAACUUGUGAUUCGCCUGCCUCAGCCUCCCAAAGUGCUGGGAUUACAGGCGUGAGCCACCGCGCCCAGCUUCAAAAAGUUUAAAGCAGAGCUCAGAGGUCUUAACCACAGGUACAUCUGAGGAGCAUUUUUGAAACAGUUUCCAGCUUCCUCAACAGGAAGAGAAGCCAAAUUCCGAAUUUAUGACUCCUUUGAGGAAGUCGAGAGCUGUAAGGAAAGCCAGGAACAGGGGCAAGGGAGAGAUGCAUCCCGAAUGAUCCUGUGCCAAUUCUUUCUGGAAUCUUUGAUGUGAUCUCAGCUGCCCUUUCUAUACUUGACACAGUGAUUGUGGCACCCACUGGUCUAGCUGUGGUCUACAAGGAACCCCCAAAAGGAAGGGCACAGUGAGCAGGGGCAUCGGCCUGAGUGACAAGGAUUUGAGAGGGCAGGUUGGAUGCAGGGAGAGGACUGGCCAAAUGCCAUGUGUCUGGACUUAGGCUGCCUGGUUCAAACUGGACUUCACCCUUUUUGACUUCAUGAUCUGGUACAAGUUAUAUGAAAAUGCAUUGCUCCUUUUCUAGUCUGUAAAAUAAUAAUGAAAUGUGCACUAAUAACUGGGAGACUACGCAGAGGAAAUGAAACAAGCUGCAUAGACCACAGAGCUCAGAGCCUGGCCUUUAGGAAGCCCUCAGUAAGGGUUCAUGAUGCCAUGGUGUCUGUCAUCAUCCUCUUUAUCCUCAUCAUCACCUUCAUAAUCUUUUUAUUGUUCUUAGAGAAUAGUUUAGAGGGACUCAUUCCCUGCUAUCAUGGGUGAGAUGUCUAUGAAAAGGACAACCAGUGGGGGAGGAAAGCAAAAUUUUGAAUAAGAUUUCUGAGACCGCCCCCCCCCGACCAUAACCAAGAACAGAAACUCCACAGUCUGCUGAGCCGACAGUUUGCACGUUGGUCUCCUCCCAUCUGCCCACCGCACUCUCCUGUUUUUUUCCUGAGGAUGAGGAUACAAAACAAGGCUCCCAACCGUCCCUCAGCACUCACUGAACUGCCCUUCCCCUCUGCUGGGCCAUGACCACGGAGAACAAGUCCACUGUCCUCCCUGCGUGGUGCACGAUGGAGGCUCAGACUCCAUCCUCAAGGCUGGCAAGAAGACAGGGUGAGACAUGAGCCUCCUGAUACAGGUGAUGGGUGUGGAGCCCACAGGACUGGAACCUCACACUGCAGGGCUGGAGGCACAGACUAUUUACUAUUCUAUGGCCUGGGGGGCUCAAGGCACAGAGCUCCUCAUUAGCCAAAGUCGCCCAAGUUCCCCAACCUUUAAGGAUUUCCUCAUAAUAAUGCAAGAAGAAGAAGAGAAAAGUGAGUGUCCAUAGAAGCUUUGGGGCUCUUCCUCUAAUCAGGAGAAAGCUGCAGAAGUUCAUCAGCUAACUUCUUGGGACCUAGCACCAUGUGAAGACGCUCAAGCUAGACUUUAAAAUGAGAGACCCAGAGGAGAGACAGAAGCUCCACUAAAUCCAAAGAACACCUAGACUGAUCAACAACAGAGGAAGCAAGGACAGCAAAGGGCGCUGCAGAGGCCAAGAGGUGAGAGCACAGCAGGAGGGAGGAGCAAUGAAUGGUCAGCCACAAGUGCAUUUGGAGGCCAAGCCAUAGCUUGACCAACAUCCCAG